AGGGUUGUCGCUCUCUCUGCGUCGAUCCGUCCCGAUCAGAUCCGGAAAUGGAGGCAGGACAGAGUACGCAGUUUCUUUCCCUAUCGAUGGGCGAGUGCGAGGUCUUUGUAUAAAAACAAAGAAAUAAAUAACCUUCAGAUCGCAAAGAAAAAAAGAAAGGUUAGUGCUGCCUUUCGGAUUCAUCAGAGAAAAGGCCUGUUGCUGAGGGUGACAGUGGUGACUAUAGAGACUCAAUGUCGGUGUACUGAGAGCAAGUGAGUGUGGGUGCUCAGGCCUGAGUGGGACAUCCACAUCAACACCUGCCAAGGCCCAGGGAGCUUCACGGAAGAGGACUCGGAGAGAAGAUGAGAACAAGGCGAUGAGGGGAAGUGCUGCGGAACACCGUUUCCCAGGCAGAACAUGGCCACUGCACUCCUAAUCGCUCAGCAACUGAGAUGACUUGAGUGAGACCUGCAGAAGACUGGGCCCGUCAGCAUCCCAUCAUGGAUGGGUAAGGGAUCAUAAGGACCCGCUUCCCUGAAGCUUACAGUUGGUACUUGCUGGGAUUGGGGUGGGCUUUGAGGAUUUAAAAGGCCACACCAUUCCCAGUGUGCAUGUGUUCUGCUCUCUGUCUCUGUGUCUCUCUCUUUCUCUGUCUCCUAAUUAUAGAUAAGACUGUAAGCUCUCAAGUCUUGUUCCAGUGUCAUCUGCCUGCCUGCUGUUACGCUCCCAUGAUAAUGUUCAUGGACUUAAUGCCUGAAAAUGUAAGUGCCCAAUAAACUGUUUCUUCUUUAA
rnacentral:lncRNA from 1 species